UGGGGAAUAUUGGACAAUGGGCGCAAGCCUGAUCCAGCCAUGCCGCGUGAGUGACGAAGGUCUUCGGAUUGUAAAGCUCUUUUUGGCGGGGACGAUAAUGACGGUACCCGCAGAAUAAGCCCCGGCUAACUUCGUGCCAGCAGCCGCGGUAAUACGAAGGGGGCUAGCGUUGUUCGGAAUCACUGGGCGUAAAGCGCACGUAGGCGGAUUUGUUAGUCAGGGGUGAAAUCCCGGGGCUCAACCUCGGAACUGCCUCUGAUACUGCAAAUCUCGAGUCCGAUAGAGGUGAGUGGAAUUCCUAGUGUAGAGGUGAAAUUCGUAGAUAUUAGGAAGAACACCAGUGGCGAAGGCGGCUCACUGGAUCGGUACUGACGCUGAGGUGCGAAAGCGUGGGGAGCAAACAGGAUUAGAUACCCGUGUAGUCCCUGAGCGGGCUGGCAAGGCG
rnacentral:rRNA from 1 species